rnacentral:tRNA from 1 species
GGGGUUGUAGCUCAGUGGUAGAGUGCAUACCUAGCAUGUGUGAGCUCUGGGAUUGAUCCUCAGCACCACA